rnacentral:misc_RNA from 1 species
AUUCCACAAUUGUUGCUACCCUUGUUCACAAGGCAAUUGGAGAUAGACUUCAUUGUGUUUUUGUUGACAAUGGUUUAUUAAGGUAUAAGGAGAGAGAAUGUGUGAUGGAAACUUUUGAAAGGGAUCUGAAUCUACCUGUUACUUGUGUGGAUGCUUCAGAGCAAUUUCUUAGCAAGCUGAAAGGUGUAAUAGAUCCUGAGACGAAAAGGUGGAAAGGAGUUCAUUAGCAUUUUUUAUGCUUUUGCCAAUGAUUUGGAGCAACAGUUGGGAAAGAAACCUACUUACCUGGUCCAAGGUGUCAAGUGGUAGGAAGUUUGUGUAGUAAAAUAUAAAUUUUGAGGACUAAAGGGGAUAUUUUGUAUUUAUUUUCUAUUUAUGUAAUUUUAGAGUGUAAUGGCUCAAGCAUAGUGAUGUUCCCUCCUGUCACACUCCAUUUUGUUCCUAUCGCUCUUUAAGGGGGAGUGACUAAUCGGCUCGUGCUGGGCUCGGCUGGCGCC